rnacentral:tRNA from 1 species
ACUGGCUAGCUCAGUUGGUAGAGCCUGUGACUCUUGAUCUUGAGGUUGUGGGUUCAAGCCCUAUGUUCAGUG